rnacentral:rRNA from 1 species
AUUGAACGCUGGCGGCGUGCCUAACACAUGCAAGUCGAGCGGUAACAGGUGUAGCAAUACAUGCUGACGAGCGGCGAACGGGUGAGUAAUGCUUCGGAAUCUACCCAAUGGUGGGGAAUAACCAGCCGAAAGGUUGGCUAAUACCGCAUACGUCCCACGGGAGAAAGCAGGGGAUCGCAAGACCUUGCGCCAAUGGAUGAGCCGAAGUCGGAUUAGCUAGUUGGAGGGUAACGGCCUACCAAGGCGACGAUCCGUAGCUGGUCUGAGAGGACGGCCAGCCACACUGGGACUGAGACACGGGCCCAGACUCCUACGGGAGGCAGCAGUGGGGAAUAUUGGACAAUGGGGGAAACCCUGAUCCAGCGACGCCGCGUGUGUGAAGAAGGCCUGCGGGUUGUAAAGCACUUUUAGU